CAUACUACUAGCGACAUCUUCAUACGAAAUUGAGUAUCAAAAUUGUGUUUAAAACUUUAAGAUUAUCUGUCAUUUUUGUGAAAAAAAAUUGUGCAGUUAUUAGUUUUUGUCUUGCGGUCAAGAUAAACUUCAUCAUUGAACUGUAUGCAUUCAUUUCCGUUGUUCAUCUAGCUCAUCGCCACCGCUGGAAAAGAAAACAACAACCAAACCAAAGAGUCCCCGCUUUUCCGAGAAGCAUCACGACAUGGUGUUUUCCAAUUUAAUUGGAUUUUGUUAUUGCGCUAUUCAUGCAAAUAUAAAUAUUGGAAAUAAACACCACUUGCUGGGUGAUGGUGUGGUCCAGUAUGAUAAGCUUUAAGGAUAGAUUUAUUCUUGGACUAGGAGAUUGUGAUUGGUGGUGGUGUUGCGGUGGCCGAUAGAAAUUUCUUUUUGGAGGUUACCAUCGAACUAAUACCGUCUCCUCAGUCGGUGGAAAAGCAACGAAACAAAAAAGAAACCAAAGUGAAAUAAGCAAUUAUUAUGUAUCUUUUGGGCCAAAGAAAAAUUUUAAAUUGAAAACA